AACUUACACUACCGCAAUAUGCAAUAAGUUCUUAAUAUAAAAUACAGAUACAAAGUGUUUUUAUAUUAAGGACUUAUUGCAUAUUGCGGUAGUGUAAGUUUU